CACCAGCGCCACGAGUGGGGGUCGAUUUUAUUGGGCCUAAAGCGUCCGUAGCCGGCCUAGUAAAUCUUCUGUGAAAUCGUUGAGCUUAACUCACCGACGUGCAGAAGACACUGCUGGGCUUGAGACCGGGAGGCGUCAGAGGUAUUUCUGGGGGAGCGGUAAAAUGUUAUAAUCCUAGAAGGACCACCUGUGGCGAAGGCGUCUGACGAGAACGGAUCUGACGGUGAGGGACGAAAGCUAGGGGAGCAAAACGG
rnacentral:rRNA from 1 species